UUUCACGUUGUGCCCAGACAAACUGUCUCAACACAGCACACCCUCUGCCCUGCGUGAACACAGUGCACAAAGCUAUCAACUGGAGAAAAGAUGUUCUUGGGCUCUGGGGUCAUUCUUUUCUCACUUUUUGUAGAUGAUAAAAUUGAAAAGAUAGCCCCGGCUGUGAUCGUUUACCCACCACCUAAGCCGCAAGAUGGAAAGACAGCCUUGGUUUGCAUCGCCAAGGGCAUGAUUCCGGCCUUUGUCAGAUUCAAAUGGAAAGAAGAAGGUCAGGAAAAUUCCGAGGCGGAGGUUCUGGAACAUAAAAUAGAGGAUGGUAGUGCCAGUAUAUUAAUAAUCGAAGAAAUGAAGGCAAGGGUGAAACACACAUGUACGGUGGAACAUGAAGGAACGGAGCAUGGAAAUACAUGGAGUCCCACAGGUAGCACGGAAGGAGAAGACCCUAAGGGGGAAUUGCCAGCCUGCAAUCAGACCGUAUCAGACGAGUCUUUUCUGCCCUCGAGGAGAUUGUAUCUGGCGAGCCUCAUCUACACCUUGAUGACACUGAAAAGCGUUGCGUACAUUGGUGUUGUGUCCCUCCUUAUGUACAAGAGGUCCACCUAACAGCCCAUCAGCAGAAUAUAAUACUCCCUUUUCUUAUCACCAUCCAUUCUUGUUGGCCUAAAAUAAUCAUUUGUUUGUCGUCUCCUAGACAUUCCAAAAAUAUAUCCGCCUGUUUAACAGGCAUAUAUAAUGGUUGACUUCUUCGCAUUGUUAAUAGUUAAUUCAUCUUCUUGUUUAAUAUGAACCGUAAGAAAACCAGUCUGUAUCUAUUGCAUAUAGUAUAUUCAAUGUUUUGGAUGUAUCCAGUUUUGUUUACGUAGGUUAUAGGCUAUUCUACUGUGUCCAGAUGCAGGGUAAUUACUGCCUGUUGUCCUCAUGUUCGUUUAUAUUGGCCUAUAUAUAUUCAUGAAAAAUACAUGUAUCCUCAGAAUUGUUCAUGUUAAUGAUUUUAGUCACAUUUUUCUUUUCACAACAUUUCUUUACAUUUUACAUUUUUGAUAUUAUAUGAGAAUAAUGCCUGAUCAUUUUGUGUAUUUUACAAGAGGAGCUUCAACAUGAAGGCAGUUGUUCUUUCUGUUAGAAAUAGUUUGUUUCAAUAUGAUUCAAUUUCAUUGUCUUUUCUAAAAAUUAAUAAAAUUGCUUUGCUGCA